UACGUAGGGGGCAAGCGUUGUCCGGAUUUAUUGGGCGUAAAGAGCGCGCAGGCGGUAUGACAAGUCAGAUGUGAAAGAGGCCGGCUUAACCGGCAAGGGUCAUUUGAAACUGUCAGACUAGAGUGCAGCAGAGGAUAGUGGAAUUCCCGGUGUAGUGGUGAAAUGCGUAGAUAUCGGGGAGGAACACCAGUGGCGAAGGCGACUAUCUGGGCUGCAACUGACGCUGAGGCGCGAAGGCUAGGGUAGCAAACAGG
rnacentral:rRNA from 1 species